rnacentral:rRNA from 1 species
UUGAACGCUGGCGGCAGGCCUAACACAUGCAAGUCGAACGGUAACAGGAAGCAGCUUGCUGCUUUGCUGACGAGUGGCGGACGGGUGAGUAAUGUCUGGGAAACUGCCUGAUGGAGGGGGAUAACUACUGGAAACGGUAGCUAAUACCGCAUAACGUCGCAAGACCAAAGAGGGGGACCUUCGGGCCUCUUGCCAUCGGAUGUGCCCAGAUGGGAUUAGCUUGUUGGUGGGGUAACGGCUCACCAAGGCGACGAUCCCUAGCUGGUCUGAGAGGAUGACCAGCCACACUGGAACUGAGACACGGUCCAGACUCCUACGGGAGGCAGCAGUGGGGAAUAUUGCACAAUGGGCGCAAGCCUGAUGCAGCCAUGCCGCGUGUAUGAAGAAGGCCUUCGGGUUGUAAAGUACUUUCAGCGGGGAGGAAGGGAGUAAAGUUAAUACCUUUACUCAUUGACGUUACCCGCAGAAGAAGCACCGGCUAACUCCGUGCCAGCAGCCGCGGUAAUACGGAGGGUGCAAGCGUUAAUCGGAAUUACUGGGCGUAAAGCGCACGCAGGCGGUUUGUUAAGUCAGAUGUGAAAUCCCCGGGCUCAACCUGGGAACUGCAUCUGAUACUGGCAAGCUUGAGUCUCGUAGAGGGGGGUAGAAUUCCAGGUGUAGCGGUGAAAUGCGUAGAGAUCUGGAGGAAUACCGGUGGCGAAGGCGGCCCCCUGGACGAAGACUGACGCUCAGGUGCGAAAGCGUGGGGAGCAAACAGGAUUAGAUACCCUGGUAGUCCACGCCGUAAACGAUGUCGACUUGGAGGUUGUGCCCUUGAGGCGUGGCUUCCGGAGCUAACGCGUUAAGUCGACCGCCUGGGGAGUACGGCCGCAAGGUUAAAACUCAAAUGAAUUGACGGGGGCCCGCACAAGCGGUGGAGCAUGUGGUUUAAUUCGAUGCAACGCGAAGAACCUUACCUGGUCUUGACAUCCACAGAACUUUCCAGAGAUGGAUUGGUGCCUUCGGGAACUGUGAGACAGGUGCUGCAUGGCUGUCGUCAGCUCGUGUUGUGAAAUGUUGGGUUAAGUCCCGCAACGAGCGCAACCCUUAUUGCCAGUUACUACGUAAGAGGACUCUGGCGAGACUGCCGUUGACAAAACGGAGGAAGGUGGGGAUGACGUCAAAUCAUCAUGCCCUUUAUGUCCUGGGCUACACACGUACUACAAUGGCUGUAACAGAGGGAAGCAAGCUAGUGAUAGCAAGCAAAACCCAAAAAGCAGUCUCAGUUCGGAUUGAAGGCUGAAAUUCGCCUUCAUGAAGCCGGAAUUGCUAGUAAUGGCAGGUCAGCAUACUGCCGUGAAUACGUUCCCGGGCCUUGUACACACCGCCCGUCACACCAUGAGAGCCGGGGGGACCCGAAGUCGAUAGUCUAACCGCAAGGAGGACGUCGCCGAAGGUAAAACUGGUGAUUGGGGUG